UACACCCUAUAGGUUUAACCCCUUUAGAUGGGUCAACUAAUGUCUAUACAUCAUUGACCUUCAUGGACUCCAUUUCAAAUUUUAUGGCUUCAAGCUAUUUAUCAGAGUCAGACCUCUGUAUUACAUCCAUAUAGGUGAUCGGAUCUUCAUUGUUUUUAUCGAGUUCAAUAAGAUUUCCAUCUCAGACUAAGAAAUCAUAG
rnacentral:lncRNA from 1 species